UGGGGAAUUUUUGGGACAAUGGGCGCAAGCCUGAUCCAGCCAUGCCGCGUGCGGGAAGAAGGCCUUCGGGUUGUAAACCGCUUUUGUCAGGGAAGAAAUCUUCUGAGUUAAUACCUCGGGGAGGAUGACGGUACCUGAAGAAUAAGCACCGGCUAACUACGUGCCAGCAGCCGCGGUAAUACGUAGGGUGCAAGCGUUAAUCGGAAUUACUGGGCGUAAAGCGUGCGCAAGGCGGUUUUUGUAAGACAGAGGUGAAAUCCCCGGGCUCAACCUGGGAACUGCCUUUGUGACUGCAAGGCUUGAGUGCGGCAGAGGGGGGAUGGAAUUCCGCGUGUAGCAGUGAAAUGCGUAGAUAUGCGGAGGAACACCGAUGGCGAAGGCAAUCCCCCUGGGCCUGCACUGACGCUCAUGCACGAAAGCGUGGGGAGCAAACAGGAUUAGAUA
rnacentral:rRNA from 1 species